AUUGUUACCAGCGGUUUACUGACAGCUCAUGUUUUGUUUGAUUUUUUUAGUAUUGUUGUUAAUAUUUUCGAUUGAUACACUGAAUGAGCUCAUUCUAGAUAGUGGCGAUAGUAUGGUUGGUUCUUCGUGAAUUCUCGAAUGAGAGCAACAAGUUUCGGCUCGGGCUGGCAGGCGGAUUGAUUACGUGCGCGUAAAAUUGUUUAUUUUUAACUCUGCAUAAUAAACUCGAACCCAGUUUGCAGCUAUUUGGAACCGAAAGGAGUACUUUUUCUGGAAAUCCGAGUUACCCUAACUAGAGAAGUUCCAUGAAAGGAACCGGCGCAGCUUUUCAGUUCGAUGCAUUUUCAGAAACAUAGCAAAGGACACUUCAUCUCUAUCAGAAUUAAAACUGUGAUCGGAGCUUCUGCUGCAGCUUUCAAUUAAGCAGUAAUCAGUCACCAAAUCCAAGCCCCGUGAACCCUUAGACAAAUCAAUCUUUCUCCCUGUCUUGAUGACGAAUGCAAAUCGUGAAAAGGAUUGAACUAAAUCAGCUGAUCGAACUAAAAAACAAUACAACAGAUAUGGCAACGAUGGCUCACAAAAAAUCGGCUCAAGUAUCAAUUCUUGAAAACAAAACUGUCCAGUUGGCCCAGAUAUGAUGCGGUUCCAGUUUAGAAUAUUUCCUUCCCACAUCUUUCGGAAGUCGCAAGAAGAUGUCCCAGGAAGAAGAAGAUGUCAUUGCAAUUAAAAAUGCUCAGUGGUUGCUCGAAUUGUCAGAUGCUUUGCGUUCUGUUCUGUUGCAUCCAGCUUAAUCCUGCAGCCGGUGUAGAUUCAAUCAUACCAAUUCGAAUGCAAGGCAAUCGCAUGAAUGUAAAAAACUUAGAACGGAACGACCGAAACGACAUUGGUGGAAAUUUGUAACCUGCUUCCACUUAUAAACAAAAACUCGUCUUAGUAGCAGAUACAAGUAGUUACGGUCCAAGAAGAACCCGGAGCAACAAAGACCCGGUGGCCAAAGAGUAAGCGUUAGUUUUUUUCUAAACUAGAUUUACAUUGUUAGGUUAUGGUUUUUAUGUGAUUAUUUUUGCACACACAUUUGUUGAUAUCUUUUAUCAUGUUUGCAAGUUA